rnacentral:lncRNA from 1 species
UAAACAUUAUAAUUCCACAAGUUGUACUCCUUAUGAGGAACCACUAUAAACGAUUUUGAAAUUACAAAACCAAAAUCAAAACAAGCCACUGGAAUUUAUUGUACAAUCAAGCAUUGAUGGAUACAUAAUUCGUGCCUGAUCAUCUAUUUACUUCAUAUUCUAUAUUUUAGUUAUUCUAUAAAAUAUGUGAACAAUCUAACCGCCACAUUGGAUCUUAGCCUCAUCGACAUCAAGUCUGUUGCUUAUUGCGAGCCACUGACAAUCCUCAAAUGAGCAUUUUUCCUCUUCUAUGGACCACCCGACGUUCUCUGGCUUCAUAUAUUUGGGACCCCAGCUCGGGGUUCCAUCUUCAAAAGAGUUAUGGGUCAAUCUGGUUAACUCUGAACCAUCUAGUUUCAUGGUAAAUAUCUCUCCGUAUGGUUGAUAGUGAUGUGGAUUCGAUAUUGGCUCAGCAGAAACGGCUGCAUAGUCUGACGUGAAAACAAUGCGCUUCCCAUCCGGGCUGAACCAUGGGUGGUUCGUACGUCCGGCUGAGCCACUCUGGAUCAAGUGUCGCAACCCAGUUCCAUUUGGGUGGAUCAUAUACAACCUAAAACUUCCUGAACCUGGGUUGUGACGGUCGGAUGCAAAUGCGAUCCAGUCCCCAUCCGGAGACCAGUUACACAUUGUGUCCGACCAUGGCCCGUUUGUCAAUUGAGUUAGACCACCCUUCUCACCUUCAACAGCAUUCAUGAUAUACAAGUUUUUAUGACCCGUUCGACCCGACCUGAAAACAACCCAUUUCCCAUCAGGUGAAACCGCUGGAAACGCAUUGUUUUGGCCACCAAAGGUGAGUUUUGUAAAACGGGGUUCAUCCGCAUCAGCGUCUAUUGAGAAUAUAUCAACAUCAGUGUCCUCGCUCGCAAAUGUUGGUCCAAUGCUCGUGUAGAUGACACCUUUACGCUUGGGAUCCCAUGCGGUUGAAAACGCAGUAAUAUCUGGAUUCAACACUCGAUUACCUGACCCGUCACUGUUAACCACAUAAAGACCCGGCAAACCAACAUAAGUGAUCCGACUCCCAUCAGGCGAAAAAGAAGGAAAAGACCCGUCAAUCCGAAACAAAGAAAUGUCUGGCACUUGUGUUUUAAUACUCUCAAGAAACAGGUAAUUUUUAAUCAUCUUCCCAUUGCUUCCAGCCCCUCUACAUUUGUGAUACCCGACCCGCGAUGAGUCGGGUGAUAUAAACGGGUUAUAAUGAUUGGCCUUUGGAGCAACUAAUCGGGUCAACUCCUUAAACUUCCCGGAUACGAGGUCGUAUAGCUCUAUAUGACGAUAAUCCGAACCUGGUCUUCUAGUUGCCACUGCAAUAAUAUUUUUCUUUGUUAACGAAGCAGCUGGAGUGAACGAGUGAAGACCCGGUGGGGUGACUCGCCGAGUCACCACCGAGUCCACACUAAAAGACAUAUCUUGAGGCAAAAUCGCCACAUAAACACUCCACCACCCAUCCUCACCUCUCCGGUGAAAAUAAAACGUCGAGUCAUCAACCCAACUCGGCCACCCACCGUGUUCCACCACCUUGACUCGGUCCAACCCGUUCUGAGUCAAGAAAACAUAUAUAUCCGUAUCGAGUUCCUGCAACUCCCCACCCCAACCCUUUUCUCCAGAAGAUGCUACCGCCGUCCACAAACCCGACGGAGACACCGCCGGACUAAAAUCAGCAAUCCCUUCAGGAGUCAACCUCCGAGUCAACCCGGUUGAUAACUGAGUCGAGUAAACCGCAGCCCAACUGGUCCGACCCACACCCGUAUCCUCAUGAGUCGACACGUAUACCAACAAAUCACCCACCAAACUCGGUCUGUCUUUCAUCGAAACCCGUCCGUUUCCACCCACGAGUCGGUGUUGAGAGCGAGUUGACUCAGUCUCAAUAACAGAACGUUUUCUGGUGUGAGGGUAAGAAACAGAAACAGAAACUUCAUCGAGAUAAAUGGAUGAAGUUCCAUUACGUUCAGUGACGUAGAGGAGUUUAACAGACGAUGGGUCAGGGUCAGUGACGGUGUUUAUGUUCGAGUUGACGGAAGAGAGGAAGUGGCCGUUAAAGUUGACGGAGGUACCGUCGGUGAGUUGAAGUUCAUGGCCGGUGGAGUCGAAUGGGAGUGAGAAUAUAUCGAAGGCGUAUCUUGAUCGGCCUAAAGUGGUGAAUAUUAUUGUGGUUGCAGCAGGGGUCGAUGAUAUGGAUUUAGUGAUUAUGAAGAUGGAGAAGAAGAUGAUCAGAUGAAUGGGGGGUUUCAUGAUGAUCGGGGUUAACGGGUAUGUUGCAAAGCAUGCUUGA